rnacentral:rRNA from 1 species
CGUGGUGUGAACUGUCUGCUUAAUUGCGAUAACGAGCGAGACUCCGACUGUUAAAUAGUGGGAGGUUUAUUUUGACCUCCGCACUGCUUAGCGGGAUUCGCAACUUCAAGUUGCAAGAAAUGGAGCAAUAACAGGUCUGUGAUGCCCUUAGAUGUCCGGGGCAGCACGCGUGCUACAAUGGUGGUAACAGCGUGAUUGUCCUCGCUCGACAGAGCUUGGCAAACAGUUGAGAUAUUAUUAUGGCUGGAAUUGAGUGUUGAAAUUUUCCUCUCAUGAACGAGGAAUUCCAAGUAAAUGCGCGUCAUCAACGUGCAUUGAAUACGUCCCUGCCCUUUGUAC